rnacentral:tRNA from 1 species
GCCUUCGUGGUGUAGUGGUCAGCACGCUCGGCGCGUAUUCGAGCGGUCCGUGGUUCGAGUCCUGACGAGGGCG